UCUCAUAGCUCAGUUGGUAAAGAAUCUGCCUGCAAUGCAGGAGACCCAGGUUUGAUUCCUGGGUUGGGAA
rnacentral:tRNA from 1 species